UCGAAAAAUAAUUGUAAUAUAAAUUUCACAUUCUUUUCCACAGUAUUUCAUGUGUAUGACACUGGGAACCAGUCAUCUACAGAAAGAAGGAUGGCAAUCCAUUUGACUCUUAGGAACAGCUGUUGAUUCUGAGGAAGACGGCUUUGAUGAAGGUACAUUAACUGACUUCAUUGACAUUAAGGUCAUUAAUAAAAAUAUUGAAGAGCACCGGGC